GCUGAACUCCUUUGUCUGUUCUGCUUCUUCUCUAGGUUCUUCCCUGAAGUUCUCAGAGGCCCCAGCACCAACCAGAGCGGCUGCUGCGUCCCUCUGGCUUGAGCUUUGCAGGAAUACCAUCCCCGAGACACUGCUGGUGGUUUUCUGUACGAUCCCUUUGGCCAUGUGUUGGGAUUUCCUGGCUGCCCCAUGUUCCUCCUAGCAGUUAGAAUUGUGUGACGCAUGUAUAGGACAGAUUUCCAGCCCACAGGCUCCACGUUGUGAGCAUCUGAUCGCAUGUGUCAUUCAUAAAAUUGGCAGGUUUUGGACUCUAGAUACUGAUUUUUUAAAAAAUUUAAUGUUUUUUGUGUUUUCCAUUAUAGUUGAUUUGCCGUGUUCUGUCCAUUUCUGCUGUACAGCAACGUGACCCAGUCAUACAUACAUAAAUACUCUUUUUCUCACAUUAUCCUCCCUCAUGCUCUGUCGCAAGUGACCAGAUAUAGUUCCCUGUGCUCUACGGCAGGAUCUCAUUGCUUAUCCACUCCAAAUGCAAUAUCUUCAUCUGUUAACCUCAGACUCCCAGUCCCUCCCAGUCCCCCCCCCCCUUGGCAACCACAAGUCUGCUCUCCAAGUCCAUGAGUUUCUUUUCUGUGGAAAGAUUCAUUUCUGCCUUAUAUUGGAUUCCAGAUAUUAGUGAUAGCAUAUGGUAUUUGUCUUUCUCUUUUUUCACUCAGUAUGAGAGUCUCUAGUUCUAUCCAUGUUGCUGCAAAUGACAUAAUUUCGUUCUUUUUCAUGGCUGAGUAGUGUUUCAUUGUGUGUAUGUACCACAGCUUCCUAAUCCAUUCAUCUGUCUGUGGACAUUUAGGUUGUUUCCAUGUUUUGACUAUUGUGAGUGUAUCUUUCUCAGGGCAAGUUUUGUCCAGGUAUAUGCCCAAGGGUGGGAUUGCUGGGUCAUGUGGUAGUUCUGUAUUUAGUUUUCUGCGGUACCUCCAUACUCUUCUCCGUAGUGAUUGUACCUGAAUUGCUAUCUAAUUUCGGUGAUGUUGGCCUUUUAUUCAGAAUUCAGCUGUACUACUGGGAUUCCUAUUUCUUCCGUCUCUGAGAAGCCCAAAAAGUAGCAGCCUCUGGUUGCUAAUGGCUGGGAGGGAGUAACACUGUGGGCCACAGAGGACCUCACGUAGGGGCGUGAAGAGACCACCGACGGCUGUCUGGGGACAGCAGGGCCUUCCUGCCUGAGGCUGCUGGGGGUGAGCGCUGCUCAGGGUAGGGACUUUCUCUGUUGGUUUGGUAGGACUCAGUGUCUGGUUCUGUUUGCCAGGCCUGCCCGUGUCCAGCCUCUCCUGUCACCUGCUGUGUGCCAGCCGCUUGUCACUCAGGUGCCCAUAAAUAGAGACCCACCAGGCCCCUGAUGGGGCACAUAGGGACCUGAUGGUGAUGACCUCAUGUGGACCGCAGUGGGGAGGCCCUGGGGUGGCUGCUAGCCUCGCCUUCGGGCAGAGUUGAGGGAGGCUUUCUGGAGAGAAGGGGGAGCCAGCCAGUUAGAGGAGCAGUGCCUCCAGGGGAGGAGGCCGGAGCUCCAGAGCGUUUUGGGGCUGGGUGUCCAGAGAGGAGAAUGUGUUUGCAAAGCUGAGAGCUUGGUGGCCUCACGGAGGGACGCCUCCCUCCUCUCCAUUCUUGGGAUGCAGGUGAGCACAGGCAGGGCUUGCAGGAGGCUCUUCUUUACCGAUUCCUUUCCUUUCUGGAACACAUCGGAACUGACAUCAAGGAGGAGUUCACUGGCCCCCUAGCAGCUAAGGAUCUGGUGGUGUCACUGCUGUGGGGCGGGUUGCUACUCUGGUGCUGGUUCCAUCUCUGGCCUGGAACCCCCCCUCCCCCAUUAAAAAGGAACCGACAGGAAGGGAUUGUCCACCCUUGAUCCAUUCUCAUGUAUUUUAAAGAAGAUAAAGCACCUGCAAGAGUCUGGGCGGGCUGCCCGUUGGCACCACUGAGUGAGUCCCCGCUGGGCACAGCAUAGGGUCCGUCCCGGGGGGUGAGACAUGACACAGGCCUCACCUCACGUUAGCUGCACACGUCCUUGAAGAGUCCUGACGUUAGGGACCCACAGGCUGGAGGCGACGCACGCUUGGGAUGAGGAGGACCCAGUGCUUGGCGCCCACGAGGGUGAGGCUUGGCGGGGGGCGGGGGGGGGCUGCGGUGUGAGAGGAGCGCCCUUGCACGUGGGUCAGCUGUUAGUACCUUGCUGGUCAUUCAUUUUGUGGAGCACAGGGGCGUGGUGCUGGGGGCUGGUACCUCGGGGGCGAGGCCCUGCUCCGGAAGCUGCAAGGCUGGUCCAGUUUGCAGCUGUGGUGCGGUGCCCCGGAGGGCUGGGGAUGGGCAAACCCAUCAACCCUGAGAGCAACAACCCUGAGAGCAAACCCAGGACACCUUUAGAUGGAGCUCAGGGAGAGUCCCCCUGGGAGUGAGAUCCCGUCGGAAGCCGAUCAACUGACGUGGCAGCCCUGGGGCAGCAGGGCCCACGGGGACGGGGAUGGGGAGUUGGGGGGGCCCAGGGCAGGCCUCUGACUGAACCCCACCAACUCGGGGCUGUCCAAGGGCAGGUCUUUCUGCAGCAGUGCCCUGGCACCAGCAGUGGAGGGGAGUUUCCCUUUCUGCACACCCUCUCCGGGCUUUGCUCUGUGUAGACUUAAUAAUGAUGGCCAGUUUUGGGCUUGUUUUUAUUUUUGUCUUUUUAGAGUCGCACCCAAGGCUAUGGAAGUUCCCAGGUUAGGGAUCGAAUCGGAGCUGUAGCUGCUGGCCUACGUGACAGUUAUAGCAACGCCAGAUUGAAGCCAUGUCUGCAACUCAUGGCAAGGCUGGAUCCUUAACCCACUGAGUGAGGCCAGGGAUCAGACUCACAUCUUUAUGGAUAAUAGUCCAGCUCAUUACCGCCAAGCCACAGCGGGAACUCCAGUGAUGGUCAUUCUGACCAUGGGAACAUUUUUUUUGUUAUUUAUUUUUUUGUUUGGCCAUGCCUGAGGUAUGUGGAGGUUCCCAGGCUAGGGGUCUUAUCCGAACUACAGCUGCCGGUCAGAGGCACAGCAGCGUGGGAUCCAAGCCGCGUCUGCCACCUACACCAAAGCUCAAGGCAACGCGGGAUCCUUAACCCACUGAUUGAAGCUAGAGAUGGAACCUGCAACCUCAUGGCUCCUAGUCGGAUUCAUUUCUGCUGCGCCAUGAUGGGAACUGCUGUUUUCAACUAUUUUUGCUGUCCUCUCCUUUUUAUUGGAGGUGGUGUGUAGAACAUAUAUUCUAACAAGCGUACAUUUUAGGAUGCUUGAUGUUCUGCAGGCCUCCGAGUCCCGUUCAUUUUCUCUGAGCUUCUGUUUGGAUACCUCACUUCUGUUGUCUUCACGUUCAUUGCUCCUGCUGCUUCUCACUGCGGUUAGGAGUGGUCAGGCACUUCCGGUGUUUCUUCUUAGCUUGGUGCACUGCCCUUGCGGGGUGCCCGUCCUGCCCCAUGGCCUGGAAAGUGUGUCUAGCAGAAGCUGGGGUGCUGCCUGCUGUCCAGGGUCUGACAAGAUGCGGCACAUGCUUGGCAUAAGUGCUAGUUUCCGCAGCAGGAGGUGUGCCCAGCCCCAGACAGGACCUGAGCUCUGGCUCCGUUCACUGGAAGGCUGUUCCUUAGAUUUUUUUCUAGGUCACUUUUCUUCAUGGGAAGUCUUUGCUGCAGAUGACACGAGGAUGUGGAGGUUAGGCGUCAGGGUUUUCAGUCUCUGAUGAUGGAUGCUGGUGAUUUCAGUCUGGGGAGGUUUCUUUGUAGCAAAAGUAUGGCCCUGGGGUGGAGGAAAUAUGCCUUCUUCGGGGGUGCAGGCCCAUUUCUUGUCAUCAGCAGCUUUCUACUAUGCAUUAGGUCUCAGGCAUGUGUGUAUAAUGUACUAUUUUGAGUUUCUGGGAUUUCCUAUUAAUAUUCUUGUCUUAAAUACUAUUUUGUCUGUCAGUGAUUUUCAGCACGGGCUGCACAUGAAAAUCACCUUGAGAACUUUAAAAAUACACUGGAGGGAGUUCCUGUCAUGGCUCAGCUGAAACGAAUCUGACUAGCAUCCAUGAUGAUGCAAGUUUGAUCCCUGGCCUCGCUCAGUGGGUUGGGAAUCUGGUGUUGCCGAGAGCUGUGGUGUAGAUUGCCGAUGCAGCUUAGAUCUGGCGUUGCUGUGGCUGUGGUGUAGGCCAGCAGCUACAGCUCUGAUUCGACCUCUAGCCUGGGAACGUCCACAUGCUGCAGGUGCAGCCCCAAAAGGACAAAGGAUAAAUAAAAAUAAAAAUAAAAAUACACUGAAUCUGGGAGUUCCCCUUGUGGCACAGCAGAAACAAAUCCAGCUAGUAUCCAUGAGGAUGUGGGUUUGAUCCCUGGCCUCGCUCAGUGGGUCAGGGAUCUGGCAUUGCUGUGGCUGUGGUGCAGGUCACAGAUGAGGCCCGGAUCCCGCGUUGCUGUGGCUGUGGUGUAGGCCAGCAGCUGCAGCUCCAAUUCGACGUCUGAGUUGACAGCCAGAGCACAUCUUGAGAGCGUGUGGUGGAGCUGCAGCGCCUUUUGCAGCCGGGCCUCAGGGUCACAGUGUCACUUCUUCAUCUUCCCAUCCACUAGGUGGGAGUUGGCAAGGUUGGCCACCAUCAAGGAAAGCAGCUUAGAUCCUGCUGUUUUGUGGCCUCUCUGGCAUGGUGCCUUGCUAACUGGACAUCUUAGUGUCCAGGAGCCUGCUGGCGUCUUUUCGGCCCAUCAGUCAUGCUUUUCUUUUUUCUGGUAGCUUUUAGGACAUUUGGCCCUUUACGGCAGUAAGUCUGUAUGUGGGUGUUUUUUGUUUGUUUGUUUGUUUUUUGGGUUUUUUUUGCUUUUUAGGGCGGUACCUGCUGUAUAUGGAAGUUCCCAGGCUAGGGGUGGAAUUGGAGUUUGAGCUACCACCCUUUGCCACAGCCACAGCAAUGCAGGAUCUGAGCUGCAUCUGUGACCUGUAUCACAGUUCACAGCAAUGCCAGAUCCUUAACCCACUGAGCAAGGCUAGGGAUCGAACCUGCAACCUCAUGGUUCCUAAUCAGAUUUGUUUCCUCUGUGCCAUGAUGGGAGCUCCGGAUUUGUUUUUAUUUACUCUUCUUGGUGCGCGGGUGUACUUUUGCGCUAGAAAGCAGCUCUGGCUCUUCUGCUGGGGCCUCCUGGACACAUGGCGGCUGCUGGUCCUUCUCCCUGGACCUGCUCUCGCAGGAGGGGCGGGUGAGCCAGUGAUAGGCUGGCGGCAGAGGUCAGCUGCAUCGGUGCUGCAGGUGAGGCCAAGUGGGUGUCUGCCAGCUGAACGGUGCUGGGAGCAGGUGUGGAUGGGCUGGGUAGCUGGUAGGCAGACUCUGUGUACUCUUUCCUUCUGGAUGGUGUCUUGCACAUUGGUCAGGAGGCAAGAGGUCUGGGUCCCUGGCUCUGAAACUUCACACCUCGGUCACUGCCACAAAAAAAAAAAAAAAAAAAAAAA
ensembl:lncRNA